CCCUGCUCCAGGUGCAGGGCCUUGCACUUGGCCUUGUUGAAUUUCACAAGGUUCACAUAAGCCCACCUCUCAAGCCUGUCAAGGUCCCUCUGGGUGGCAUUCCUUAUCUUCAGUAUGUUGACUGCACCACUCAGCUUGGUGUUGUCCACAAAGUUGCUGAGGGCACAGUCAAUGCCACCCACUGCCCACGUCACAAAAGACGUUAAGUAAUACCAGUCCAAGUACAGGCCCCUGGGGACACCACUCAUCACUGGCCUCCACCUGGACCUUGAGCCAUUGACUGCAACGCUCUGAACGCAACCAUACAAACAACUCCUUACCCACUAAGUGGUCCAUCUGUCAAAUCUAUCCCUCUCCAUUUUACAGACAAGAAUGUUGGGUGGGACAUCUUUCUCACUAAGUUCUAAUUCAAUUAGAAGUAGGGCAACUUAAGCCAUGUAAGGAAUGAUAGAAAGCUUGCAAGAUGGAAAUACAUAUAUACGACUUAAUUAACUUGCUUUAGAACUGCAAAUUAUGUAGUGUUACUAUAAAGUAGGCAUCAGCGUUAAACAGAGCUUUGGCAUAAGCAAGUUUUCAGUAGUUUGUGGACCAUAGCAAUAACUGACUUGGCUGGUAAUAAGUUACUUUGUAAUCAAAAAUUUGGAAGUUGUAGUUUUUUUCUUUAAUCUAAACCAAACAGGGAGAUGGUUUAUACUAAAUAUUAGUUCAUAUUUUAAAUCAUGUUUCAGUGAUUUACUUGAAGGUCAGCACUCUAUAUCUAAUCACUCUUACUGAAACGAUUCAUCAGAAUUCUUCCAGUGACCCUAGUAACAGGACCUUUGAAUAUCUGUCAGAAACUCUAUUAGUUGGCUUCAGGCCCCCAGCACAGGCUCCUCUCCACAGGCUGCAGCUCCGGCCCAGGGCCUACUCCUGCGUGGACUCUCCAUGGGCCUCCUUUGGGCCACAUCCACCUGCUGCACCUUGGGCACGGGACAGCUCCUGGGCUCGCUCACAGAGGCCACCCCUGCAGCCCUCCUGCUACCAAAACCUUGCCCAAUACAUGCUCCUUUCAUGAGCAUUUUCCUCAGAGCUUUACCUUGACACAAAACAAUCAAAAUCUUAGGAAUAUCUUUCUGUUAAAUUUAUCUUCAGUAGAAUUUCCAUUUUCUAAAGAAAAAUGUUUCAGUAUUACGAUAAGCAUUCUGAUAGCUUAAAUACUGUGAUAAGUUGUUCAAGUUUGGAUAUUUACAACUGUUCAGUCACAAUAGUCCUAUGCAAAGAGAAAAUUAUGAACUGUAUCUGUCCUUUUUCAGGGUCAGAAAAAGGUGCUUCCAAAGCACAAAUGCUUCAACAAACUCAUUUUUACACCAAAAGCCUAAUGAUCUAUAAUGAAUUCCACAAAUGCACACACUUCCAGCUCUUACUACAAAGAGCUGUAAUUUUAUUACACACAACUGGGCAUGUAUUUGCAAGGCAUAGUACAAGAACCUUGAGAUUGUUUGUCUUCACGUUUUUAUUCCUCUUGCCACCACAAAAAAAUCACAACAAAAGGUUUAAAAAAAAAAAAUACUUUUCUACUUCUUGUACACAAAGGGAUCCAAACUUGCAACUUGACAUCUCAGUUAAAAUUGUACCCUGUCAGCAGUGCCUCUGCGCAAACUAGCACAUGUGAACAUCAGCAUAUUGAACGCUUAGAAAUCUUUUGCUUCACCUAUUGCUACAGUGAUGUGAAAUAUUUUAUAGAUCCAGUACUUACAACUUAAAUGAAUUUUCAAAAAUCAUAGAAUCAUUAAGGUUGGAAAAGACCUUCAAGAUCAUCUGGUCCAACCAUCACCCUACUACCAAUGUCUCCCACUAAACCAUGUCCCUAAGCGCCAGGUCCAACCUUUCCUUGAACACCCCCAGGGACGGUGACACCACCACUUCCCCGGGCAACUGGUUCCAGUGCCUGACUGCUCUUUCUGAGAAGAAAUGUCUCCUCAUUUCCAACCUAAACCUCCCCUGGCACAACUUGAGGCCAUUCCCUCUGGUCCUACCACUAGUUACCUGUGAGAAGAGGCCGACCCCCAGCUCCCCACAACUUCCUUUCAGGUAGUUGUAGAGAGCAAUAAGGUCUCCCCUGAGCCUCCUCUUCUCCAGACUAAACAACCCCAGUUCCCUCAGCCGCUCCUUACAGGACUUGUGUUCCAGGCCCUUCACCAGCUUCAUAGCCCUUCUCCAGGUACGCUCCAGGGCCUCGAUGUCCUUCUUGUAGUGAGGGGUCAAAAACUGAAUGCAGUACUCAAGGUGCGGCCUCACCAGAGCAGAGUACAGGGGGACGAUCAUCUCCCUGGCCCUGCUGGCUACACUAUUCCUGAUACAAGCCAGGAUGCCGUUGGCCUUCUUGGCCACCUGGGCACACUGCUGGCUCAUGUUCAGGAAAGUGAAGUGCAUUAUACCUCACAAAACACAAUUUCAGUAAAACAAGUCUCUAUCGGAACUGGUUGGAAGCAGUUAAGACUAUGAGGUCCAUCACUUAAGAUGGAAGUCUUUUGGAGUGAUUGAGUUAAUUUUCAUGGCAGUAAGUAUAAAAAUAGUUUUCUGACACUUCAUUGCAGGAAACUAAAUUAUAAAGACUUGUCUUUUCACUGCUUUCACAGACGAAGACCAAGGUACAAUGAAUACUAUCACUUCAUCUCACAACAGAUUUAUAAAGAUAGUAAGAUACUCAGAAACUGUAAAGACUGGUACCAGAAGCAGGCAGGAGCAGGGGAAUCUAUCUUCAGAGGAAGGCUUGAAUUCUGUGCAGUAGAAGGUGUGGUAAAGACUUAGGGCUAUACUUUGUAAAAUAAAGAAAAAGAAAUACAGACCUUAUAAAGCAAGUAGGAUUAAGGAGGAACUACCAUAAUCUCACAACUGGUGCACCACUGAUCUCAUUAAAAUAAACAGGAGGAAUGUACAGCUGAAUAGGAUGAAAGACUGGUUUUCAAGAUCUGAAGUUUCCACAUAAACGAACAUUGUGAGAUUCUAUGGAAACAUAGCAGAUCUACAGCUUUAGCCAACAGGGAUAAGGCUCAAAUUUACACUGACUAAAGAGUUCCCACUUAAAAUCCAUUUUAGUAUCUAAAUAUGUACAAGACUAUGCAAAUUCUAAUGCUAAACCAUGCCAAUUAUUGAAUACUUUAAAUGGAAUAAAGGAAUAGUGGAAGCAACAAAUUACUCCAAGCCUGAUAACACUAGGGAGCUCAAACAUGGAUCUAAACUUUGUUAGGUUCUCCUCCCUUUCACCCCACCAAACCUUAAAAAGGUCAUGAACUCAAAACUUGUGCUAUUUUCUUAGCUCUACAUCACACAGACAGCUGACAAAACUCAGUGUUGGGUGUCUGUCAUUAAUUUAGCAAGUAAACAACCAACAUAUACUCUUACAGAUGGUGGCCUGCAGUAUUUUUUUUCUUGAGUAGAAUUCAGAUGAAGAUUUGCUGAGUGCUAAGAGGAGAAUUCCACAUGCUAAAGGAAAAUAUUUACUGCUCAAUUUCCUUUUUGAAAUGAGGGAAUGAAGUAGAUCCAGAGAACAGCAUCUUCAAACCCAUACAUUCAGACUCACGUACAGCAAGUGCAGGAAGUAUAGGGAGGCAUGGAGUUUUGAAACAGGGAGAAAGGAAGAGUAAUAAUAUACUGCAUCCUACCGAAGGGCUGUCCCAGUAUCAUGGUAAAUUGAACUAACCUGCAGCUCAGUCAGAGGCUCAGAAAUAGCUCAGCUAUCAGAACAUUUUGCCUGUGUCUCCAAUACACCCUUGUUCCAGGGACUUUUUCAGGGAUGAUGCUACACUGUAAAUGCCUGCCAGAGAUUUCCCAUGUCAGAGUAAUUACAUUUCAUAGUUUAUGCAGACUGGCUGCUUAGAUACUCCACCAAGAAAGCAGAAAUACUUACCAGUAUACCAGCAGUACCUGAAUCAAGAGGUUAGCUGUGGUAUGUUUUUUGUUACCAUUUGUCUAUGUUAUUCUCUUUGCAUAAAUAUUAUUCUCUCCAGAUACAUUUACAUAUUCUGACCUCAUUUCAUAAGACUCAUGCUGCAUUUAUGGCAAUUUAAUUAUCAAUCACAGUCUGGUGUCCUAGAAGUAAAGAAUUUAAGUAGCAAACUAAUGAUAAGCCACGGGGGAGAGUUCAUGCAGAUGUUUAAAUCUGUUUUUUGCAAGUUAGUAAACAGAGCUCAAAAAAAAAAUCCGGUCAACUAGUAUACAAUCUCUGCUAUAGCCAGAGAAGGAAGAUGUUAAAAAGAUAUCAACUCAUGGAAAGCAACACAUUCUGAUUCCUGUAUCUCAUCUCGAUCAGAAAUGCUUCAUUUAGGAACAAAAUCAACUUUUGACUCUGUGUAAACAACUGUGGCUUUACGAAAAAGCCUAAAGCCUUUGAUCUGUUUGUACAUGCUGCCCACAUCCCUCACGCAGUCUAAAUUAUAAAACGCUCCAGGGCACUUGCAACUGUUCAUCCUUGGUGCCUCUAUCAUCAUGAAACACAACAAUCUUGUACACCAUACUGCAAGCAUUGAGGUGCUAUUUCCUGCUCAUUUUGGAGCUUUGGAGACCUGUAUUAUCAUAAGUAAGGUUCCUAUCUCUGCAUAAAGUCAAAGUACUGCUCAUACUCCAAUUGAAGAGAAUUAUCUUUACAACAGACUGCACAGAGGAGCAUUGUGCACACCAGCCAAACCAACAGUCAGUCCCUGCCCUCCAGUCUUUGUUUAGAAUUAAUUUAAUGCUCACCCUCUUAAGCAUCUUAUCAGUUAAAUUAUCAGUUAAUUUGCAAGCCAGAAAGGCUAGUGUGGCAGAAUUCAAAGUUGAUACUUCUGAUUUCUCUGCUGCCCUGGUAAAAGCUGCAAGAUGUGAUCAGCAUUUCGGGCUUCUCACAGCUGGUACAGUCAGCAGUAGUUAAUUAUUGUUUAUAAAAUGCGGAACUGUGUGUUCCUGCAGUCACAAGUUACAUCACUCUUUGGCUGUGCCUAUUACUUAUCAGCUGAAAAUCAGGGCAAUGAACAAAGCAGGAAGAGUGGAGAAAAAAAAAAAAAAAGAAAAAAAACACCAUGACAGUUUACACGGGCUUGUGUGCUGUCAGGGAACGACAAGGAAGAGCAAGGGGCAUGCUAUGCACUUGCCAUCACCCAUCCCCCUUAGCUCAGUUUGAUUUGAUUUGAUUCCCUAAAGAUUCUUUCAAAGAUCCCCCGGGCAGUGCUUUUGGCUCCAAUAUGGGGUACGGCCACUGCUCCUGAAGCCGCCACGGAAACACCAAGGAAAUAGAAACAUCACGGAAGAGAUUUGAAGCCCCUGCCACCAAGGGCCUGCCACUUUGUGGUCUUCCCCCUUGAGCAGGAAAAGCGUCCCCGACCCACAGCAGGAAGCCACUCACACCACCACCAGCCGGGAGGGCAGAUACCGGCCAGCCUGGGGACCCCAGAGCCCAAGGGGCAGGUGGCUGCCAGCAUCCGGCACCUUCUGGCACCUGCUCAGACACCCCCAAAACCCACACAAUCUCCGAGGCUCAGCACCAGCCACGAGGGUUCAACCUCCACGCUUGAAGUAGUAAUGAGAGAACGAUAAAAGGCCUCAAAAUCACACGCGCAGCUGGUCCUCGCUUGUCUUUGAAGCUCCGAGCUCUGCGCGCUCAGACGAGGGCAGGCGGCACGAGGCAGCAUGAGGUGGAGCGCGGCCGUUGAUGACCGUUAUUGGCUGUUAACGACCGUUAGCGGCCGUUAACGAGCCCGAGGGCCGUUAGGCAGCACGCGGUGCCCACCCUCCAGCAGGAGCCGCCUCAGCGCUGCUCAGAGGCAUCCUCCGGGAGCAAGCAGUAAAUGGCUGGGCUCUUCCGGGGCUCCGCGGCCUUGCAAAGUCAUUAUUUUCCUUUAUAUCUUGUCAGUGUCUGCUUCUUGGAAGAUAAAAUGCUUGGAUUAGAGGAACUUGAAGAAUAGAAACAAUCCAGCAAUGACCUCACCAUACUGACCUAGGACUUGGUCAGAUAAAGGGAAGCAGAGAGCUACUUGAACAGUUCUGCAUCGCUGGACCCAGACUUGCCCCACUAUAAAAUCCUGUAAAAGCAGCAAAGUGAAGCUUCACUGAGCAUUAGCUAUCGACAGCCAUUACACAACAGUGAUCUAGACACAAAGAGUUACUGCAUUACAUAAUGGUGUAAAGAUUUGCAGACUCAGCAAGUCAUGUCUACUCACGACUAGGAGAAAACAUGCCUAAUAAGAACACAAACUUGAGACUGAAACGACACUUCAUAGUCACUAAAAAUCCAGUGAGAAUGUACCCAUACCUCCUGAGUAAGCCACGCGAUGUCUUUGUGAGGCCAGUCCACCACAAGAGGUCCAAACCUACGAAAGCUGGCAGUGAUCUCAUCUACAAAAAACAAAUGAGGCACCUUAGAGAGAAUCUGAAGACUGACAGUGGCAAGUACCUUCAUCAAUGUCAGGAGGAAGACCUCCAACAAACACCUUUCUAGAAUAGCGUUCCACUCUUUCACCAUUCUGACAGCGUGUUGGAGAGCUGAGACCCGAUGAUAAAGACUGAUCACCGUGACUGUCGUCUAGGAAGCCAUCUUCAAAAGGAAAGAGUGAAGACCGACCUGUAACAGAUUUUGUAGUAUCUAUAGUUAAAGCUAUUUCCUGUGAAUAAUUAAAUAUUUCAGUUAAAAUAAUAAUAAUAAAAAAUAUUAUAUUUUCCUUUUCUAAAAUAGUGUUUUGAUUUACAGAAUUUGUAUUAA